UACGUAGGUCCCGAGCGUUGUCCGGAUUUAUUGGGCGUAAAGCGAGCGCAGGUGGUUUAUUAAGUCUGGUGUAAAAGGCAGUGGCUCAACCAUUGUAUGCAAUGGAAACUGGUAGACUUGAGUGCGGGAGAGGAGAGUGGAAUUCCAUGUGUAGCGGUGAAAUGCGUAGAUAUAUGGAGGAACACCGGUGGCGAAAGCGGCUCUCUGGCCUGUAACUGACACUGAGGCUCGAAAGCGUGGGGAGCAAACAGG
rnacentral:rRNA from 1 species